UUAGGCUGUUGUGGUAAACUGAACGCUUUGCCGGGAAAAAGGGAAACGGGGAAAUUAGAAUGCAAUUGCCGUAUUAGAUAGUGUUUUGUUAAACAAUUUGAUAAUUCAGAGGAACUUGUUCUUUCGAACGUGAAAACCUAGUAGGCGUAUUCAAUAAAACAGUUUCCAAAAACCAGCAAUUUCAGAAGAUUCUCUCUGUCACCACAAUUGAGAUUUUUUGAAGUUGCACGCUUGAACCCAGAACACCACUUUUCAUCCCAAUCUUCAUUUUUGAGAGCAAACCCAGGUGGAAAAACAUCUCAAUCCUACAUCAUCUUAUUCUCAGAAGAAGGAGAGGGUGUGAUGGUAUAUUAAAAGAAUAAAGAAAAGCAGAGUGAAAAGAAUGGGUGGAACACUGUGCUGCCUCACGCUGGUUAGAUCCGCGGAGGAGAGCGACAGAGCCAGG